CCUACGGGAGGCAGCAGUGGGGAAUAUUGCACAAUGGGGGAAACCCUGAUGCAGCGACGCCGCGUGAGUGAAGAAGUAAUUCGUUAUGUAAAGCUCUAUCAGUAGGGAAGAAAAUGACGGUACCUGAGUAAGAAGCCCCGGCUAACUCCGUGCCAGCAGCCGCGGUAAUACGUAGGGGGCAAGCGUUAUCCGGAUUUACUGGGUGUAAAGGGAGCGUAGACGGCAGUGCAAGUCUGGAGUGAAAGGUGGGGGCUCAACCCCCGAACUGCUAUUGAAACUGUACGGCUGGAGUGCAGGAGAGGUAAGUGGAAUUCCUAGUGUAGCGGUGAAAUGCUUAGAUAUUAGGAGGAACACCAGUGGCGAAGGCGGCUUACUAGACUGUAACUGACGUUGAGGCUCGAAAGCGUGGGGAGCAAACAGGAUUAGAUACCCGAGUAGUC
rnacentral:rRNA from 1 species